UACGUAGGGUGCGAGCGUUGUCCGGAAUUAUUGGGCGUAAAGGGCUCGUAGGCGGUCUGUUGCGUCGGGAGUGAAAACUCAGGGCUAACCCUGAGCCUGCUUCCGAUACGGGCAGACUAGAGGUAUGCAGGGGAGAACGGAGUUCCUGGUGUAGCGGUGAAAUGCGCAGAUAUCAGGAGGAACACCGGUGGCGAAGGCGGUUCUCUGGGCAUUACCUGACGCUGAGGAGCGAAAGUGUGGGGAGCGAACAGG
rnacentral:rRNA from 1 species